CCCUUAGAUGUUCUGGGCAGCACACGCGCUACAAUGGUCUUCGCAAACGGAUGCAUUCUCGAAGGAGAAUGCCAAUCUUGGAAUCUAUGCCUUGGUCGGGACAGUUGCUUGCAAUUUUUCGACUCGAACCAGGAAUUCCUUGUAAUCGUGAUUCAUCACAUCACGAUGAAUACGUCCCUGCCCUUUGUACACACCGCCCGUCGCUCCUACCGAUCGAAGAGUUAGGUGAAUUGUUUUGAUCGAUAAGAUUUGACUAUGGUCAACUCUCGUUGUGAAAUUCUGUGAAUCUGACUGUUUAGAGGAAGGUGAAGUCGUAACA
rnacentral:rRNA from 1 species